rnacentral:lncRNA from 1 species
UUUGCAUCACUAAUUUGAACAGCUGAGUUCUUGAACUUAGUUCCACAUAUCGGAGUCAAAAUUGUCUGAUAGAUAAUUGAUUGAAAAUGCUUCAUAAUGGAAAUUCAUAUUCUACUUCAGGGACGUGAUUCAUCAUAAAAAUUCUAUUCCGGUUAUUGGUAUUUUUUAUCAAUUCAAUAUAUAGAAACUCAUGUAUAUACCAGGAAACAAUUCAAGUUUUUCGUUACGAAAUGUUCACUUCACCGCUAAUUAACCGUCAACAAAGAAAUAGUGAAACUUUCAAUACUAAGUUCUAAUCAACUCCAAUACCACUCGACUAUAUCUAUGUACUUAUUACAAAUUUUAUCUGAACUUAAUAUGUAAACAAAUUAUUAAUAGAAAGAAUAGAAAUAAUUAUCAAAAGAAAUUUCAGAUGAGGCAGCUUAUUCACAUGUUCAUGCACUAACUCGAUCACAGGUUAAAAGAACCAAACAUUUUGAUAGUAAUAUUAUAAUGAAACUGGUUGACUGAACAGAAAGAUGAAAUCCUCUCAUCCUUCUCCUCUUUUUGAAAGCCCCGGGUUUUUCAUUAUUCUCUCCUCGCCGGAGCAUAAUUUUUCUUCCGGGGACCUACCGUGUUCCAACUUUGGAAUUGUGGAAGAUCAUACAUCAAAGGAUUUUGUUUUCUCCCAAUCCCCCUGCAUUCAAGACACUAAGAGAAGGAGUUCAUCAAACCAAGUGAAAGGAGAAGGACUAAUAUCCAGAGUAAUAACUUCCACAUUUAUGAUCUCAUUCUUUUACAAGUUACUUUAGAGUCUCCAUAAGUACCCCUUCAUUCAAUACUUCAUCUCAUCUACUAAGUGUAGGAUUCAUAAACCCAGAAAGAAAAGGAGGAUUUUAAAAUUCUCUGCCACCCUCGAGCCUCAAAAACGUCAAGAUAUUAAACUCCCAAACCAUUUCCUCUACCAACGACCUCAGGCCCUGCCUCUGCAAUUGAUGAGAUAUUCCCACCUUAUAUAAAUAAGAGGAAGACCAUAAAACACCAACAUAGACAAAGUAAACCCACCAUCAAAAUAAAGCUCUCUUUGCCAAAAAAUUCAUACCUCAAGAAAGUGGAGAUGAACUACCUGCUUUCCCAAGCCGAAAACUGGAGCAUUGGUAAGGAAAACCCCCCAAAUCAAGCUCAAGCCUUCUGGUUCAUCCUCAUAUGGCCCUUUUUUCAUGAUCGGCAAAUGCAUCGGAAGCCAAGUGAUGAAAUACCCAGCGGUUGUAGGAAGUUCCAGGCGAUUCUGGGACGGUCAUGGGCAUUUUGAUGUAAAGUCAGUAAAAGCCUCCGAGCGCCAUUUUUUUCCACUUUCCGGAAUGAGAAACUGAGAACGCAUGCCUGGGAAAAUCAGCCGUAUAUCAUCUCCAACUCCUUGCUGUGUUUGAAGAAAUGGGAUGGAAGGGGUAACCCUGAGAAGAGAAGCUUUAGGGAAAGCCCCCUCUGGAUCAACCUUAUCCUUCAGGGAAAAUUGGUGAUCUCCUGACUCGUUGUGAAGCUCCCAGCAAUGGUGGUGACGGUGCUCAGUCGGGGUUCUUCCGACCAUCUCUCAAAGCCGGUUGCGACUAUAUCAGAUUGAUCGGAGAGUCGAUCAAUUCGUAGAGAAGAAGAAAUGCAGAGGAAGAAAUGCAGAGAAGAAGAUAAGAUUGAGUCUGAAAGUCUGAGUUGAUUCAUUCUGUUGGUUGGGUUUUUAUACCAAACCCAACGGUAACUUCAACAGUAAAAACGAAAUUAUAAACGCGGGUAAAACACGUGUCCACGUUUGAUACAUCAAUAGUUAAAACGCAAACGGAGGAUAAAAC